GAUGAACGCUGGCGGCGUGCUUAACACAUGCAAGUCGAACGGAAAGGCCCAAGCUUGCUUGGGUACUCGAGUGGCGAACGGGUGAGUAACACGUGGGUUAUCUGCCCUGCACUUCGGGAUAAGCCUGGGAAACUGGGUCUAAUACCGGAUAGGACGAUGGUUUGGAUGCCAUUGUGGAAAGUUUUUUCGGUGUGGGAUGAGCUCGCGGCCUAUCAGCUUGUUGGUGGGGUAAUGGCCUACCAAGGCGUCGACGGGUAGCCGGCCUGAGAGGGUGUACGGCCACAUUGGGACUGAGAGACGGCCCAGACUCCUACGGGAGGCAGCAAUGGGGAAUAUUGCACAAUGGGCGCAGGCCUGAUGCAGCGACGCCGCGGGGGGGAUGAAGGCAUUCGGGUUGUAAACUCCUUUCGCUAGGGACGAAGCGUUUUUGUGACGGUACCUGGAGAAGAAGCACCGGCUAACUACGUG
rnacentral:rRNA from 1 species